rnacentral:snRNA from 1 species
AUGCUUGCUUUGGCAGCACAUAUACUAAAAUUGGAAUGAUACAGAGAUUAGUAUGGCCCCAUGCAAGGAUGAUACACAAAUUUGUGAAGCAUUUAUAGUUUUA